rnacentral:rRNA from 1 species
AUUGAACGCUGGCGGCCGGCCUAACACAUGCAAGUCGAACGAGCGGCAGACGGGUGAGUAAUGUCUGGGAAACUGCCUGAUGGAGGGGGAUAACUACUGGAAACGGUAGCUAAUACCGCAUACCAUCAGAUGCGCCCAGAUGGGAUUAGCUUGUUGGUGGGGUAACCGCGAACCUAGGCGACGAUCCCUAGCUGGUCUGAGAGGAUGACCAGACACACUGGAAAGUAGACACGGUCCAGACUCCUACGGGCGGAAGCAGUGGGGAAUAGUGCACAAGGGGAGAAAGCCUGAUGCAGCCAUGCAGCGUGUAUGACGAAGGCCUUCGGGUUGUAAAGUACUUUCAGCGGGGAGGCGUUACCGACAGAAGAAGCACCGGCUAACUCCGUGCCAGAAGCCGCGGUAAUUC